GACGAACGCUGGCGGCGUGCUUAACACAUGCAAGUCGAACGGAAAGGCCCUGCUUUUGUGGGGUGCUCGAGUAGCGAACGGGUGAGUAACACGGGAGUAACCUGCCCUUGACUUUGGGAUAACUUCAGGCAACUGGGGCUAAUACCGGAUAGGAGCUCCUGCUGCAUGGUGGGGGUUGGAAAGUUUCGGCGGUUGGGGCUGGACUCGCGGCUUAUCAGCUUGUUGGUGGGGUAGUGGCUUACCAAGGCUUCGACUGGUAGCCGGCCUGAGAGGGGGAACGGCCACAUUGGGCCUGAGGUAGGGCCCAGACUCGUACGGGAGGCAGCGGUGGAGAAUAUUGCACAGUGGGCGGAAGCCUGAUGCAGAGACGCCGCGUGCGGGAUGACGGCCUUCGGGUUGUAAACCGCUUUCGCCUGUGACGAAGCGUGAGUGACGGUAAUGGGUAAAGAAGCACCGGCUAACUACGUG
rnacentral:rRNA from 1 species